rnacentral:lncRNA from 1 species
AGAGAGCAUGGUUCCAGCUGUUCACUAAUAGGGACUGGGCCAAAGCGAUUCUGCUCCCACUUGGAACUGCAGGAAGACCUGAAGAGGAAAAAUGCAACAGGCACAAACAAAAGAACAUUUUCUAAAACCAACACAUCUAAGUUUAAGAUUUGGGUGGAGAAACAGCGCUAUGUUUGAACAGAAGCCUCAGGAGCACCCUGAGCAGGGCUGGCGGGCAUGUGGUUCGCUGCAGCUUCUUGUUUUUCUCUUCUUUCUUCUUUUAAUAAGCUAUUUAUUUUAUAACAGUUUUAGAUUUAUAGGAAAACUGCAAAGACAGUACAAAGAGUUGCUGUAAGCCCCUCCACCAGUUGCCCUCAUAGUUAAGAUUUUACCUUGCUCCAUUUAACAGCACUAAAAUGAAAGUGAAAGUGUUAGUCACUCCGUCGUGUCCGACUCUUUGUAACCCCAUGGACUGUAGCCUGCCAGCCUCCUCCAACCAUGGGAUUUUCCAGGCAAGAAUACUGGAGUGGGUUGCCAUUUCCUUCUCCAGGGGAUCUUCCUGACCCAGGGAGUGAAGCUGGGUUUCCCACAUUGUAGGCAGAUUCUUUGCAGUCUGAGCCACCAGGGAAGUCCCAGUCACAGACCUUAAGCACAUAGAAAGAAUUGAAAUCAUACAUUGUAUGCCUUCUGGCCACAGAGGAAGUAAGUUAGAAAUUAAUAAUAGAAAGGGGUAACCAGAAAAAUCCCUAAAUGGUCAGAAAUAGGCAAUAUGUUUUAAUAUAGCUAUUGAUCAAAAUAUUCAAUAAGUAUUAGAAAAUAUUUUGUAUAGACUGUUAAUAAAAAUACGUCAUAUCAAGACUUGUAGGAUACA